rnacentral:rRNA from 1 species
GUGGAUUAGAUACCCUGGUAGUCCACGCCGUAAACGAUGUGUGCUAGAUGUCGGAAAGCUUGCUUUUCGGUGUCGCAGCUAACGCGAUAAGCACACCGCCUGGGGAGUACGGCCGCAAGGUUAAAACUCAAAGGAAUUGACGGGGGCCCGCACAAGCGGUGGAGCAUGUGGUUUAAUUUGAAGCAACGCGCAGAACCUUACCAGCUCUUGACAUGGGAAGUAUGGGCCUGAGAGAUCGGGUUCUUCAGUUCGGCUGGCUUCCACACAGGUGCUGCACGGCCGUCGUCAGCU